GCGGCUGUAGCUCAGCUGGAUAGAGUACUGGGCUACGAACCAAGGGGUCGUGGGUUCGAUUCCUGCCAGCCGCACCA
rnacentral:tRNA from 1 species